GACGAACGCUGGCGGCGUGCUUAACACAUGCAAGUCGAACGGAAAGGCCCUGCUUUUGUGGGGUGCUCGAGUGGCGAACGGGUGAGUAACACGUGAGUAACCUGCCCUUGACUUUGGGAUAACUUCAGGAAACUGGGGCUAAUACCGGAUAGGAUCUCCUGCUGCAUGGUGGGGGUUGGAAAGUUUCGGCGGUUGGGGAUGGACUCGCGGCUUAUCAGCUUGUUGGUGGGGUAGUGGCUUACCAAGGCUUUGACGGGUAGCCGGCCUGAGAGGGGGACCGGCCACAUGGGGACUGAGAUACGGCCCAGACUCCUACGGGAGGCAGCAGUGGAGAAUAUUGCACAAUGGGCGGAAGCCUGAUGCAGCAACGCCGCGUGCGGGAAGACGGCCUUCUGGUUGUAAACCGCUGUCGCAUGUGACGAAGCGUGAGUGACGGUAAUUGGUAAAGAAGCACCGGCUAACUACGUG
rnacentral:rRNA from 1 species